UGGGGUGUGGCUCAGUGGCAGAGCGCUUGUCUAGCAUGUGCAAGGCCCUGGCUUCGAUCCCCAGCACCAUAC
rfam:Ictidomys tridecemlineatus contig016720, whole genome shotgun sequence.